rnacentral:snRNA from 1 species
GUGAAGAAAAUUAAAUCAUAAUUGAUCACCAGCGCUGAUUUGGCUGAUCUAGCUAGCUAGGCAGGUGUUUCUUACUACAUGUUUGUCCUUCCCGAAGCUGUGUGUUUGGCUGAAAAAGAUGACCUUCCCAGUAGGAAGAGAAUCAUCCUUAUUGUCAAGGGUGUCCGAGUAGCUUCCCUCUCCUGCUACAACUUCCAAAUACACUCUCAGUAAAAUGAAAACACACUCACAAGAGCCAAAACAUGACUGAGUGUAUCCCACCAG